UUCAAUUGUUCACUAAACGCAUAAGUAUCGAUGGUAAACCUUCCAAGAUCAGUUGUGGUGCUGGCAGUUGACCAAAAGACGACCAUAAUGCAAAAAGCAUUAAUUAUCUUCGUUGCUUUCCUGCUGCUUGUAACAGCAGUACAGUCUUGCCAUCAAUGGAAUGUCUGUGGUGGUCAAUUGUAUAAUCCAUAUACUCAUAGUUGUUGUGGAACACAAAUAAUCCCCUGGUGGCGUAGAUUUUGUUGUCGCCGAUGGUGGUUCUGUUGGCCUUGGUGGUAUAUCUAUGUACUCGUAUGUUGAGGUCAAUCCCAGCUUGAUAUUAGUUCAUACUAAUUCUGUAAUCGUCCAAGAAUGAAAUGAUAAAUUGCUCGAUUCUCUCUCAAUAAUUCAAUCAAUUAUAUAAUAACUUUCAUUAUAUAGAUUACUAGUCUUCCCAUGUAAUAAAUGAUGCUAUAAUUAAUAUACUUUAUAUAAUGCCGCUGACGCCGACAUUGAAACUCUUUUUAAUGUAUAGCAUAAAACUUUGCAAAAUACUUUUCUUCAUAAAAAUACUUUAUCUUUCUUUCGUAAGUUAUAGAUAAUUUGUUUAAAUUCAGAAAGCAUCAUCGCACCAAAAUUUUAAUAAAUGAAUAUCAAGGCUGAAAUAAAA